UACGGAGGGUGCGAGCGUUAUCCGGAUUCACUGGGUUUAAAGGGUGCGUAGGUGGGAAUGUAAGUCAGUGGUGAAAUCUCUGAGCUUAACUCAGAAACUGCCAUUGAUACUAUGUUUCUUGAAUUUUCUGGAGGUCAGCGGAAUAUGUCAUGUAGCGGUGAAAUGCUUAGAUAUGAACAUAGAACACCAAUUGCGAAGGCAGCUGGCUACAGGGAUAUUGACACUGAGGCACGAAAGCGUGGGGAUCAAACAGG
rnacentral:rRNA from 1 species